rnacentral:rRNA from 1 species
AUGCCUGCGUCCACCAUGCAGAGCGAGCCAGACCAUGUGCGUGAGACGCCCAUCACCUGUUCGACGCUUGGCCUCUACCCCGUCGCCAACGCCAUUCAGAUCAACAAGGUGCCCCUACCUGAGUUUGCUGUGUCCCCAACACGAUAUGCAGCCUUCUCCAUCUCCACCUUCAUGGCUGCAGUGUCCGCCUCACUCGAUUCAGAACUUGCUCUCGCCACGCCCACCAUGUGUUCGACCGAGUGCCCUGGAGAAGAAAACAGUGAAACAAGGACCACGCCCACUUCUACAGCAGCGCCGCCGGCAUCCUCGACCAGUGCUAUUCCUGCUAUGUGUGAGGUGAGCAUAGAGGUCAAUUCCAUGGCUCUGAUGGAUAUAACCAGUUCGUCUCCAAUCCUCACAAAGGUCAGAACCACCCAAGCAUUGUCGCCUACCAAGUGUUCGACAGAAGGCCUGAACGGCGAGGCCAGUGUGGCUUGUCUCAAGUAUUUAGUCAGCUCACAUCACCAGUUGCAGCAGGACGUGUGGCUCGCCGAGUUCAAAACUGAAUUGAGGAAGAGCCGUGAGGAAUUGUUGGCAGCCAGGAAGGAGAUGAACUCAGUAUCCUUGCUCACAAUCAGGUUCCUGUUUCAGUGUGUUCCAGGUUAUGGGCUAUUAACAUUAUCAUGGGAUCCUGGACAGCACGCAAUUGAUUCGGCUGCAAUUUUUUGCGAUCGAGGUAUCCUUGCUAUUUGUCACCAGCAACUUUCGGUCCCUAAUGCGAUCAAUUCAUUGUCCACUUGUUAUGGUAUUCCUCAGUUCGAGCAUUUGCAAGAUGUGUUCACUGUAUUACUACAACUAUGGCGUGCUUGGUUCCAAUUGUUAUCUUCUUCUGACCAGAGACUAUUGUUCUGGAACGGGGUGAUGUGCAGGAACUGUUUCCAUCCAUCAAUCAUACGAAUGACUAGCUGCCAGGAGUUGGGUCUUAAUUCCUCAUAUACAUCCCAGCAUCUACAGAUUGCAUGGUCAUUCGUUUGGGAGUUCUCUAGUGUUGGAUCAAGGAGGAUUGCUGUCAGCUUCUUAUUCGAUCCAGCUUAUGGUUUGGCAGUUGUUGUAUCUAGUACUUGGUGCUGGGUUCUUGCAUAUUGUGUUGCCAAUACAGUAUCACUUGAUUAUUCUCAAUUUGAUGUUGAAUCUGCACUAGGCAUGUGUCUGCCAACCAUAGUACCUCCGGCCUCUUUCCACUCCAGUCUUAUGCCACUAGCUGAUGCAAAUUUGAGGUGUACUCAUGUCAAGAAGGCCAACAUGUUCCAGUUGCUCAACAACAAUGACAACAUUCAUGUCAGCAAGGAGCAGGACAAGUCACUAUUAGUACCAUGUCUAGUUCAUGUCAUUGCUACACGGGCAGCAUCUCCGUUUCAACUUCAGUAUUGCUGUGAGAACUUAGGUAUUUGUCAGCAUCCUUAUUUUCAGUGUUACAUGUGUGCACCCACACCAUGGGAUCCAGGAAGGCACAUAAACAAGUUAGGAAGCCUGGUUAUGAACAGAAACUAUGUGUCCAUUGUCUUGUGGCCGUCGCGUCCACCUGAUCGAACAAAGCUUAGUGGCAUGAUUCCCAGUUCGUUGUUGCCUAUGGAUGUGUCUCAAACACAGAGCAAUUUGUUUCUGCAAGAUCAGGGGACUUGGUGUGACAAGCAGUACAAUAGCUGCAAAAGGAUGAUAUGUGCAGAGACAACACAAUAUGCCAUGUCUCCAGCUGUGCCACAUGAAGGAACAUCAUGCCAUAUAUCUAUGGUUGAUAGAGGCAAAUGUGUCCCGUCUUUCGAUGAGAUGAUGGAUAUCGCUUUGGAGGAAGUCGACUUUGACGAUCCGACUACGAACGUGCGAGUACGUCGCGCCUUAGCAAUCGCUAAACCAACUCCGAGAGGUUAUUGA